GUGGGGAAUAUUGGGCAAUGGGCGAAAGCCUGACCCAGCAACGCCGCGUGAAGGAAGAAGGCCUUCGGGUUGUAAACUUCUUUUAUGAGGGACGAAGGACGUGACGGUACCUCAUGAAUAAGCCACGGCUAACUACGUGCCAGCAGCCGCGGUAAUACGUAGGUGGCAAGCGUUGUCCGGAUUUACUGGGUGUAAAGGGCGCGUAGGCGGACUGGCAAGUCAGAUGUGAAAUCCAUGGGCUCAACUCAUGAACUGCAUUUGAAACUGUUGGUCUUGAGUGUCGGAGAGGCAAGCGGAAUUCCUAGUGUAGCGGUGAAAUGCGUAGAUAUUAGGAGGAACACCAGUGGCGAAGGCGGCUUGCUGGACGAUAACUGACGCUGAGGCGCGAAAGCGUGGGGAGCAAACAGGAUUAGAAACCCGUGUAGUCC
rnacentral:rRNA from 1 species